rnacentral:lncRNA from 1 species
UACAAGACAACACAUACCUGCAGCAACUUCCACUGAUUUCUAUCAAACCUUUGCUACCAUCUACCACAGAUCUAAAACUUUCAUCCAUAGCCCUAAAACUCUACUAAACCACACCCUCAAACUGCACCCAAAACAGCCACAAAACAAGCCUAAACCGCAGCCUACAUCCACCAAUCCACUAACCCUUUCGACCAUCACUUCUCUCAACCUAUACAUGCC